ACGCUGAAGCUCCAGCUUGCUGGGGUGGAUGAGUGGCGAACGGGUGAGUAACACGUGAGUAACCUUCCCUUGACUCUGGGAUAAGCCCGGGAAACUGGGUCUAAUACCGGAUAUGACCUCCUGUCGCAUGGUGGGGGGUGGAAAGAUUUAUCGGUCUUGGAUGGACUCGCGGCCUAUCAGCUUGUUGGUGAGGUAAUGGCUCACCAAGGCGACGACGGGUAGCCGGCCUGAGAGGGUGACCGGCCACACUGGGACUGAGACACGGCCCAGACUCCUACGGGAGGCAGCAGUGGGGAAUAUUGCACAAUGGGCGCAAGCCUGAUGCAGCGACGCCGCGUGAGGGAUGACGGCCUUCGGGUUGUAAACCUCUUUCAGUAGGGAAGAAGCCUUCGGGUGACGGUACCUGCAGAAGAAGCGCCGGCUAACUACGUGCCAGCAGCCGCGGUAAUACGUAGGGCGCGAGCGUUAUCCGGAAUUAUUGGGCGUAAAGAGCUCGUAGGCGGUUUGUCGCGUCUGCCGUGAAAGUCCGGGGCUUAACCCCGGAUCUGCGGUGGGUACGGGCAGACUAGAGUGCAGUAGGGGAGACCGGAAUUCCUGGUGUAGCGGUGAAAUGCGCAGAUAUCAGGAGGAACACCGAUGGCGAAGGCAGGUCUCUGGGCUGUUACUGACGCUGAGGAGCGAAAGCAUGGGGAGCGAACAGGAUUAGAUACCCUGGUAGUCCAUGCCGUAAACGUUGGGCACUAGGUGUGGGGGACAUUCCACGUUUUCCGCGCCGCAGCUAACGCAUUAAGUGCCCCGCC
rnacentral:rRNA from 2 species